rnacentral:rRNA from 1 species
GACGAACGCUGGCGGCGUGCCUAAUACAUGCAAGUAGAACGCUGAAGGAGGAGCUUGCUUCUCUGGAUGAGUUGCGAACGGGUGAGUAACGCGUAGGUAACCUGCCUGGUAGCGGGGGAUAACUAUUGGAAACGAUAGCUAAUACCGCAUAAGAGUAGAUGUUGCAUGACAUUUGCUUAAAAGGUGCAAUUGCAUCACUACCAGAUGGACCUGCGUUGUAUUAGCUAGUUGGUGGGGUAACGGCUCACCAAGGCGACGAUACAUAGCCGACCUGAGAGGGUGAUCGGCCACACUGGGACUGAGACACGGCCCAGACUCCUACGGGAGGCAGCAGUAGGGAAUCUUCGGCAAUGGACGGAAGUCUGACCGAGCAACGCCGCGUGAGUGAAGAAGGUUUUCGGAUCGUAAAGCUCUGUUGUAAGAGAAGAAAGAGUGUGAGAGUGGAAAGUUCACACUGUGACGGUAUCUUACCAGAAAGGGACGGCUAACUACGUG